UCAAAACGAGAAUUUUGAUACUAAUUUCAAAGAAUUCGGUCCAAGAUUGGACUGAAUGGGCCGGAUCCGUGGGCCCAACUGGCCCAACACUUAAAUGAGCCAAAGCUUCUUUUCUCCCCCAAUUCAGCAAAAGCAACGCUGAACACAGCAAGGGGAGGAGAAGGGUUCCGAACCCUUAUUCCAAUUUCCAAUCACCGUAACUUUUCAAUCCGAGCUCCGAUCGCCGCACCGUUUGCGGCCACGCGACCACUGCGUCGAGCUCUACGAUUCUACCGAAACAAUUUCAUAGGAUCCAAUUAGCUUGAGGUAAGGUUGUGAAUAAAUAAUUGGAGCUUGAAAUUGUGGACGUUGGAACUUGGUGGAGGUUGAGCACUAGUGUUUUAUUGAACUUUUGGGGCUGUGUUUAUUUUGGUGAGUUGCCUUGAUCACUACAUAAAAAUCAGUCAAGAUGCAGGUCAAGAGGCACCUUGUUAGGCGUCUGGACGUCUGAAGCGAAGUGGUUUUCGGGUUACUUUUUUAUUAUAUAUAUAUAUAUACUUAGUUUUCUCUCCACAUGACUUGUUCCUUUUGACCCUCUUAGAGGCUUAUGGAGAGACAGGAUUUUGUUUAUGUAAAUUUGAGUUUUGGAUAUGUAUAUAUAUGCGUAAAUAUUCUCCGGCCAGCCUUGACUUCGCGGGCUGAGUUAGGAGCUUGUUAUUUUGUAUCUUUGGUCCUCUAUUUCUACUUUUGUUA